UACAUGCAAGUCGAACGAACUCUGGUAUUGAUUGGUGCUUGCAUCAUGAUUUACAUUUGAGUGAGUGGCGAACUGGUGAGUAACACGUGGGAAACCUGCCCAGAAGCGGGGGAUAACACCUGGAAACAGAUGCUAAUACCGCAUAACAACUUGGACCGCAUGGUCCGAGCUUGAAAGAUGGCUUCGGCUAUCACUUUUGGAUGGUCCCGCGGCGUAUUAGCUAGAUGGUGGGGUAACGGCUCACCAUGGCAAUGAUACGUAGCCGACCUGAGAGGGUAAUCGGCCACAUUGGGACUGAGACACGGCCCAAACUCCUACGGGAGGCAGCAGUAGGGAAUCUUCCACAAUGGACGAAAGUCUGAUGGAGCAACGCCGCGUGAGUGAAGAAGGGUUUCGGCUCGUAAAACUCUGUUGUUAAAGAAGAACAUAUCUGAGAGUAACUGUUCAGGUAUUGACGGUAUUUAACCAGAAAGCCACGGCUAACUACGUGCCAGCAGCCGCGGUAAUACGUAGGUGGCAAGCGUUGUCCGGAUUUAUUGGGCGUAAAGCGAGCGCAGGCGGUUUUUUAAGUCUGAUGUGAAAGCCUUCGGCUCAACCGAAGAAGUGCAUCGGAAACUGGGAAACUUGAGUGCAGAAGAGGACAGUGGAACUCCAUGUGUAGCGGUGAAAUGCGUAGAUAUAUGGAAGAACACCAGUGGCGAAGGCGGCUGUCUGGUCUGUAACUGACGCUGAGGCUCGAAAGUAUGGGUAGCAAACAGGAUUAGAUACCCUGGUAGUCCAUACCGUAAACGAUGAAUGCUAAGUGUUGGAGGGUUUCCGCCCUUCAGUGCUGCAGCUAACGCAUUAAGCAUUCCGCCUGGGGAGUACGGCCGCAAGGCUGAAACUCAAAGGAAUUGACGGGGGCCCGCACAAGCGGUGGAGCAUGUGGUUUAAUUCGAAGCUACGCGAAGAACCUUACCAGGUCUUGACAUACUAUGCAAAUCUAAGAGAUUAGACGUUCCCUUCGGGGACAUGGAUACAGGUGGUGCAUGGUUGUCGUCAGCUCGUGUCGUGAGAUGUUGGGUUAAGUCCCGCAACGAGCGCAACCCUUAUUAUCAGUUGCCAGCAUUAAGUUGGGCACUCUGGUGAGACUGCCGGUGACAAACCGGAGGAAGGUGGGGAUGACGUCAAAUCAUCAUGCCCCUUAUGACCUGGGCUACACACGUGCUACAAUGGAUGGUACAACGAGUUGCGAACUCGCGAGAGUAAGCUAAUCUCUUAAAGCCAUUCUCAGUUCGGAUUGUAGGCUGCAACUCGCCUACAUGAAGUCGGAAUCGCUAGUAAUCGCGGAUCAGCAUGCCGCGGUGAAUACGUUCCCGGGCCUUGUACACACCGCCCGUCACACCAUGAGAGUUUGUAACACCCAAAGUCGGUGGGGUAACCUUUUAGGAACCAGCCGCCUAA
rnacentral:rRNA from 2 species